GAUGAAGAACGUAGCGAAACGCGAUAGUUAAUGUGAAUUGCAGAAUUCAGUGAAUCAUCGAAUCUUUGAACGCACAUUGCGCCCGCUAGUAUUCUGGCGGGCAUGCCUGUUCGAGCGUCAUUUCAACCAUCAAGCCCUGCUUGUGUUGGGGUCCUGCGGCUGCCCGCAGGCCCUGAAAACCAGUGGCGGGCUCGCUAGUCACACCGAGCGCAGUAGCACAUCUCGCUCAGGGCGUGCGGCGGGUUCUUGCCGUAAAACACCCCCUUUUUACCAAGGUUGACCUCGGAUCAGGUAGGAAUACCCGCUGAACUUAAGCAUAUCAAUAAGCGGAGGA
rnacentral:misc_RNA from 1 species